rnacentral:rRNA from 1 species
UACGAGGGGGGCGAGCGUUGUUCGGAAUUACUGGGCGUAAAGGGCUCGUAGGCGGCCAACUAAGUCAGACGUGAAAUCCCUCGGCUUAACCGGGGAACUGCGUCUGAUACUGGAUGGCUUGAGUUUGGGAGAGGGAUGCGGAAUUCCAGGUGUAGCGGUGAAAUGCGUAGAUAUCUGGAGGAACACCGGUGGCGAAGGCGGCAUCCUGGACCAACACUGACGCUGAGGAGCGAAAGCCAGGGGAGCAAACGGG